AGCGGGUGUAUCAGCUGUCAUCGCAGCCCAGCAAGACAAAAAUCCUGAUGGAAGCUUUGUGUGGAAGUAUGCAAGAUGGUGCGUCCUUCCUCAGACUUGCUUGCAGAUGUUGAGUGAAGUCACAUGGCCACGAUGAAAGAUCACACUCAUCAGGCUGGCUUGCAGCUGAAAGCACAGUGUCAUUACCUGGCCACGUGGAGGACCGCAGUCAGCAGAUGCUGUGCAGGAAGUGGUGGCUUCAAAAUGCAGACCAGGGGCCUUAGAAAUCCCAUGUACGCAUUUCAAGUAUUCAGUGAUUUUUAAGGAUUCUCAGCAAGCAGAGAGCAGAGAUGAUAAACCCUCUCAAUAAAGAGAGGCAGCGAACCGAUGGGUGAAAGACGACCUUAAAGAGUACACUGGGAGCUGAAGGAGCUGACGCUGAAAUGGUGGCUGCAUGUCCAUCUAA